AUUGAACGCUGGCGGCAGGCCUAACACAUGCAAGUCGAACGGUAACAGGAAGCAGCUUGCUGCUUUGCUGACGAGUGGCGGACGGGUGAGUAAUGUCUGGGAAACUGCCUGAUGGAGGGGGAUAACUACUGGAAACGGUAGCUAAUACCGCAUAACGUCGCAAGACCAAAGAGGGGGACCUUAGGGCCUCUUGCCAUCGGAUGUGCCCAGAUGGGAUUAGCUAGUAGGUGGGGUAACGGCUCACCUAGGCGACGAUCCCUAGCUGGUCUGAGCGGAUGACCAGCCACACUGGAACUGAGACACGGUCCAGACUCCUACGGGAGGCAGCAGUGGGGAAUAUUGACAAUGGGCGCAAGCCUGAUGCAGCCAUGCCGCGUGUAUGAAGAAGGCCUUCGGGUUGUAAAGUACUUUCAGCGGGGAGGAAGGGAGUAAAGUUAAUACCUUUGCUCAUUGACGUUACCCGCAGAAGAAGCACCGGCUAACUCCGUG
rnacentral:rRNA from 1 species